rnacentral:rRNA from 1 species
GCKCGAAAACUCUACAAURCAGGCAACUGCGAUAGGGGAACAUCGAGUGAYCYYCAUAUUGGAUGUCUGUCCWCCCGCCUAAAAAGCGGGWGUUAAGCAAGGGCCGGGCAAGACCGGUGCCAGCCGCCGCGGUAAUACCGGCGGCUCGAGUGGUGGCCGAUAUUAUUGAGUCUAAAGGGUCCGUAGCCGGCUUUGCAAGUCUCUCGGGAAAUCCAGCGGCUUAACCGUUGGUCGUCCGGGGGGUACUACAUUGCUUGGGACUGGGAGAGGUAGGAGGUACUCAGGGGGUAGGA